GCAGCCGCCGCGGGAAAACGGAGGGGGCUAGCGUUGUUCGGAAUUAUUGGGCGUAAAGGGUGCGUAGGCGGUUUGGCAAGUUUGGUGUGAAAUCUUCGGGCUCAACUCGAAGUCUGCAUCAAAAACUGCCGGGCUUGAGUAUGGGAGAGGUGAGUGGAAUUUCCGGUGUAGCGGUGAAAUGCGUAGAUAUCGGAAGGAACACCUGUGGCGAAGGCGGCUUACUGGCUCAUACUGGACACUGAGGUGCGAAAGCGUGGGGAGCAAACAGGAUUGGAUACCCGAGUAGUCCCUGUCUCUUAUAC
rnacentral:rRNA from 1 species